GACGAACGCUGGCGGCGUGCUUAACACAUGCAAGUCGAACGGAAAGGCCCUGCUUGCAGGGUGCUCGAGUGGCGAACGGGUGAGUAACACGUGGGUGAUCUGCCCCUUACUUUGGGAUAAGCCUGGGAAACUGGGUCUAAUACUGGAUAGGACCAUGCUGUAGGUGGUGUGGUGGAAAGAUUAGUUUCGGUAAGGGAUGAGCUCGCGGCCUAUCAGCUUGUAGGUGGGGUAAUGGCCUACCAAGGCGUCGACGGGUAGCCGGCCUGAGAGGGUGGACGGCCACAUUGGGACUGAGAUACGGCCCAGACUCCUACGGGAGGCAGCAGUGGGGAAUAUUGCACAAUGGGCGCAAGCCUGAUGCAGCGACGCCGCGUGGGGGAUGACGGCCUUCGGGUUGUAAACUCCUUUCAGCCAUGACGAAGCCCUUGUGGUGACGGUAGUGGUAGAAGAAGCACCGGCUAACUACGUG
rnacentral:rRNA from 1 species